rnacentral:ncRNA from 1 species
GCCCUUUGCACGGUGGCGGUAGUGGAAACACCCGCAAGGCUUCUUACAGCCUAGGACACCUAAACAGGGGGCUU